rnacentral:lncRNA from 1 species
CUAAUUUGAUCUUUUCCAAACAUCCAUAAUUAUUUAAACCAAUAGAAAUGAGUGAGAUUCUAGGAGCAAUUUGAGUUUUUAAGAACUCUACUUGGAGAGGAUUGUCAAUAGGCUUCUUCAAGAACGUCAUAUUUUUGAAAAUUGCUUAGCAGAAUGAAGAUUCUGACAGCAUGUGAGGGUGGGCAUUGGAACUCUUCUAAAAGGAACGUGAAACCAAACAUGGAAUAUCAAGACAAAUGCUACUCCCUCCGCUUUUCAAAUUAUUAACAUCAGUAUUACAUUUCAUAGUGUUCAUGGUUUAAGGAAUUCAGUGUUGAGUGGGAAACAUUUUUAUACGUCUAUCAUGCCUAUCCUUAAGUGUGAUUUUUAAGUCUAGGCAUAAUGUUCUGUUUUAAUUCUUUGCAUAUCUUCUCAUAACGCUGAGUAGGAAUGAACUAGAUAUAAUCUUGAUUUGAACUGAAAUGUGGGGCAGUACAAUGAGGACAGAGCAUUUCAGCACCAUAGACAAGCACGUUUUCGGAAGCAUCUUCUAGCUUACAUACUGGCUUCGCUUUUGAGGAAUCCCUGUCCACUAUCUGUUACUACUUCUACAGAUGAAAACAUUUGUCAUUUGUUUACACUGUUAUGUUCUUGGGACAAGGGCGAUCAAACCCAGAUGAGCCAGCCAGCUUAAACUAAGAAAUUGAGGUGAAGUCUGUUCUUCCAAGCAACAAGCCAACUGGAAAAAUUGACCCUGAGCGGCUUAAGCUCCCACAGUGCACUUAGGACCCAAUCAGACCAUCUCUGGCCCUCAGUGUCAUCAAAGCAGGGCCUUGGGCUUGGGCUCACAUGCGUAUGCACAAUCUGAGGAAUUAGGGGCUCCUAGGUUUUCUUUGUAUCCUCACCACCAGGACUUUAUUAUUAAUGAAGAGGGAGCAUCACCUGAACACUGCAUUCAUUCUGCACUGUAUUGGUAGCAGCAAGCCAGAAAGCAGCAUGCAGCCCCCACUUCUAGAGGGAAAGCCCCAAAAUCAGCCUUUAAGUCUGAAGUAAAAGUGGGAGAUGCACUCGGUGGGAAUGGCCUGUGCCUGAAGCUUCCACUGUUGGAAAAUGCCCUCUGCUUCUGACUCUCCCCAUCCAGGUGCUGUUACCCAUCCGCCCAACAAGCCCUGCGGGGGUGGGUUGGCCAGGUGAACAGGCUUGCGUUCAGGAUGCGCCGUCAACCACACAUGGUGGUGUAGCUGCUAAUAUAUGAGCGCUCGGCAUUUUUCAAAGAGCUUUCAAAACAAAAUCUAUUUUCCUAAUGAGAAAAUAUUUUUAAAGACCAUCGUAUCUACCUUGUAUCUAUUCCAUCCAUUACUUGUAUUGAUAACACCUGACAUGUAAAGAUAUUUCAACUACUUUUUUACCUAGCACUAUAGUUUACCUUCCUUUUUUGACCAGCAUUAAAUAAUCUAAAAUGU